rnacentral:tRNA from 1 species
GGGAGCCCUGAAAUACGUGGUAAUUUUACCUGAUUAAAAUGAGAUGAACACAGAGGAUUCCUUGAGUGCGGUCCAGGGAGUCGCUGGUUCAAAUCCGGCGGCCCCCG